rnacentral:rRNA from 1 species
UACGAAGGGGGCUAGCGUUGCUCGGAAUGACUGGGCGUAAAGGGCGCGUAGGCGGUUCGUACAGUCAGACGUGAAAUUCCCGGGCUCAACCUAGGGACUGCGUUUGAUACGUGCGGGCUUGAGUUCGGAAGAGGGUCGUGGAAUUCCCAGUGUAGAGGUGAAAUUCGUAGAUAUUGGGAAGAACACCGGUGGCGAAGGCGGCGACCUGGUCCGAUACUGACGCUGAGGCGCGAAAGCUAGGGGAGCAAACAGG